UACAGAGGGUGCGAGCGUUGUCCGGAAUCACUGGGCGUAAAGGGCGCGUAGGCGGUUUUGUAAGUUGGGGGUGAAAUGCUGCGGCUCAACCGCAGCGCUGCCCUCAAGACUGCAAGACUUGAGCACGGUAGAGGCGGAUGGAAUUCCCGGUGUAGCGGUGGAAUGCGUAGAGAUCGGGAAGAACACCAAUGGCGAAAGCACUCUGCUGGGCCGACACUGACACUGAGAGACGAAAGCUAGGGGAGCGAAUGGG
rnacentral:rRNA from 1 species